UUGAGACAAAGUCUCACUCCGUCACCAAGGCUGGAGUGCAGUGGCGCGAUCUUGGCUCACUGCGGCCUCUGCCUCCCGGGUUCGAGUGAUUCUCCUGCCUCAGCCUCACGAGUAGCUGGGUUUACAGGCAUGCACCACCACACCCAGCUAAUUUUUGUGUUUUUAGUAGAGACGGGGUUUCACCAUGUUGGCCAGGAUGGUCUUGAUCUCUUG
rnacentral:lncRNA from 1 species